UACGGAGGGUGCAAGCGUUAAUCGGAAUUACUGGGCGUAAAGCGUGCGCAGGCGGUUUGUUGAGUCUGCUGUGAAAUCCCCGAGCUCAACUUGGGAAUUGCAGUGGAUACUGGCAAGCUAGAGUAUGGUAGAGGAAGGUGGAAUUCCCGGUAUAGCAGUGAAAUGCGUAGAGAUCGGGAGGAACACCAGUGGCGAAGGCGGCCUUCUGGACCAAUACUGACGCUCAUGCACGAAAGCGUGGGGAGCAAACAGG
rnacentral:rRNA from 1 species